GAUGAACGCUGGCGGCGUGCCUAAUACAUGCAAGUCGAGCGAACAGACGAGGAGCUUGCUCCUCUGACGUUAGCGGCGGACGGGUGAGUAACACGUGGAUAACCUACCUAUAAGACUGGGAUAACUUCGGGAAACCGGAGCUAAUACCGGAUAAUAUAUUGAACCGCAUGGUUCAAUAGUGAAAGACGGUUUUGCUGUCACUUAUAGAUGGAUCCGCGCCGCAUUAGCUAGUUGGUAAGGUAACGGCUUACCAAGGCAACGAUGCGUAGCCGACCUGAGAGGGUGAUCGGCCACACUGGAACUGAGACACGGUCCAGACUCCUACGGGAGGCAGCAGUAGGGAAUCUUCCGCAAUGGGCGAAAGCCUGACGGAGCAACGCCGCGUGAGUGAUGAAGGUCUUCGGAUCGUAAAACUCUGUUAUUAGGGAAGAACAAAUAUGCAAGUAACUAUGCACGUCUUGACGGUACCUAAUCAGAAAGCCACGGCUAACUACGUG
rnacentral:rRNA from 1 species